rnacentral:lncRNA from 1 species
AUGCAAGAAAGGGAAAUACAGAGCUUUGAAAACCAGGAACUUGACAUCUGCAGUGGAAGACAGCUGAUUGUUGUUUACCUUUUGCAUUGUCUGGCCUGUUUGGAAACAGAAACUGCAGCCACAGCAUCCCACCAGGACACAGCAGUCCUUGUGCAGAAGCUAUCCACAGCCCAUGAAGGGGAAGACCAAGCCAGGAGCCCUCUGGAGGUGUGUAGACAUGGUCUGUAAGGAGAAGUAGCAUCUAUGUAUCAAGCCAGUGGGAUGUAACUGAAAACAAAAGAAUGUUUCAGGCAUGUGAGCCCUUCUUCAGGUCUGAAAUGGAAGCUACAAACUUCAAGCUAAAUUCGGAGUGAGAAGGGAACAGUUCUUCCAAAAAAUCUGAACAAAACUCCUGUAGGAUAAAAGGAAAAGUUAGCAAGAGAGGAGAUGGUAAGCUAUACAUGCUCAUUUUCCUACAACAUGGGCUAAACUUCAGAAAUGAAUCCACUGAAGUAGCAUUACAUCUGUUUGACACUGGUAGAAGUGAAUCAAGUGUAUUGAUACAGAUUUCAGAAAUGGGCCUAUGCUACAAAAUUGGAUUCAGAUCUGAAAUUUCUCUAACUUCAGGAAGUCUUCAGAUCUUGGGCUCUUAGGCCCUUCUCACAUAAUUUACAAAAGGUACGCUAUGUGUCUGCAUUGCCUGUGAUUCUGGAACAAAGAUUUUGAAUGUACUACUCUCCCAGAUAGAAAUAGAAUUAUAUCCCUAGCUUCUGCAAAUCCAGUGGAAUUAUUCAUUUUAUGUAAUUUACCAAUGUAUUAAAUUUCUAUACCUAGGUGUGUAAUUAUGAAUAUAUUAAUUUGUUAAUUCCCCUGUGGGAUGUUGUUUGUUUGUUUGUUUUACCCCCUCCAAAAAAACUUUCUCCCUUCUAGCCAACAGAAGAAAGAAAACAGAUAAACUACAUGUUAACCCCAUACAGGUAAAACUUAAUCUAUUUCAGUGGAUGCAACAUAUGAAUAUUCUCAAUGCCUUACUGUAAGGCUCAGAGAUUAGCUCCCAGCUGAAUCUCUUUAUUCAUGACCUGUUUUCACCUUUCAAAUGAGACUUAAAAAAAUAAUUUUGAUUAUUUAGCGUAUUUAAAUACCAGAAUUACGAUGCUAUCAUUUUUGUGUAAUGGCAUGCCCAAAUGUUAGCUAUCUCAGCUAGAAUGGCACAAUUAUGUUGACACAGUUCUGCUGGUCAGCAAAAUUC